rnacentral:lncRNA from 1 species
ACCCAAAAAAAACUGUUCUUUUUUUUUUUCUAGCAAUGCAAAGAAAAAAAAACUAUAUCAAGUAAUCAACAAGAAAAUUCACCGGUGAUCACCAUCUGGAUGCUACUGGAAAGAUGAAAAAUACCGAAAGAGGCAUUGCUCCACCAAAGUGCGACCAUGCCACUUCACACAACAAUCACUACCAAUUCACAACUUCUGAUUUUGAAGAAGUAACAGUCUUGAGCAUAGAGCUAAUUUAUUCCCAUACUUUCCUCAUUACAUAGUCUAGAAGCAAUUGGACAAUAAACCAACACGACAAUAUCUCACAACUAAAUAUCAUCAUAUAUAUCCUUAAUUCUUUCCCUAGCUGUUGAUAAGACACUUCAAGGAGAACAUCAACGUCCUUACUAUAAAAUCAGAGGAAGGAACAUAUAAUUAUAAAUGGUAAUAAGCUGAGAAAAAGGAUAGGGAUAGAGGGAUGUGAGCCCAGAAGCUAAACCGCGCUCUCUAUCGUCUCAGGGUCCAUUAAGCGGUUCUUAUGGAAGUUAGCUAUGAAGGCAGAGGCUUUCCUGUCGACGUCCGGCUCCCCCACAUAUCGCCAUCGGUCCUCAUCACUGGGCCUCACCUUCCUUGAGUUAUACCUCGGCUCCCCUUCAGCUUCUUCAUUCUGAGAUGAAAAGCAGCUGCAAAACGAGGAUUGACUCCCUCCCAUUGCUCUCUCUCUCUCUGUUUCUGUCUCUGUAUCUCUCUCUCUCUCUCUGUGUGUUAUUGAGCAGAGCUCGGGGAACUUCUUAGCUUGCAAGGAGAGCCGGUCCCUUCCAAUUUAUAGGAAGGGAGCCCCGGGACCAAUAUUGGGGGUGGAGGGGCCUGAAGUGACGUGAGUGGUCGAGAUACACCGCGGUGAAGCCACUCUUAACUUUCCCGGAAAUGUUCAAAUAAUAUGCGUCCUCUGCUUUUGAAACUUGACAGCCAGGUUGGAACAAUCUUUCCCUAUCCUUUUCCACCAACCGCCCUUCCUCCACACUAAUUACCACCCUUUUGUCAGAAAACUAACAAAAGUGUUGAGGCUACGGGGACCCAUGCAUUAAACUAAUAAUUUCAGCUGAAUUAAGGGAAUGACAUGCUUUCUGUGAAUGCAAAAAAGGCAUCUUGGAAUUGUGACAAGCAAAGCUUUCCAUCAUCUGGGAUAGAUGAAUUACUCCAGGACUAAUAAAGUUUUGAUGCUUUUUACGGUAAAAUUAAAUAUCUUCCCGGUUAAAACUUGGAAGGAAGGGGCAGUCAAAAAAAGGAAUAAUUCUUUCGCAUCUUUGGACUCGUGCUUUUGAGUUCAUUAUUGGCCGGUAAAAUGGCUAAAGUUGUUGGAAGGUGCCACUUUCCCUAGUAGAGGAGGAUAUGAUAUAAGCUAUCCCCAAUCAGUUACCUUCUGGCCCUGGUUAGGCACACCCAACUAGUGCACCAACUCACUUUAGGCUGCCUUUCGUUUGUUUCGUAGCUAAAUAUUUUAUGGUUGCUUGCUGCAAUCACGUUGUAUAUUAAAUUAAUAUAGGCAGACUCUUAAUCAUGGAAAGCCCUCCGUCAUUUGGUGAAGUCCAUCUCUGUUGGAUGCGAGAUUCUUGUGGUACCGGUACGUAAACUGGACACGUGUCACGACGAGGAAAUAGAGAAUGUUGAACGAGGGACAGGAUUUUUACGCAAGGAGGUCGUGCAUGUGGCCAGACUGGUACAAAAAAAAAAAAAGGGUGUUUAAUUAUGUUAAACUUGUACUCGACCACGUGUUUUAUUUUGUUCCAGAAGGACGUCCCCGCGCUGUCUUUGGCAAACGGUCUUCUAUUUUUUUAAAAAAAUGAUGGGAUUAGAAUCUAAUCUGAAAUCUAUUAAAGACCCAUUGUGUUUAGUCUAAAAAUUAGUUGUAAUCUUACUAAUUAAACAAGCAGAUUUAAUAGGAAAAGAGAUGUCAGGCCGUGCCCAUUCUUGUGUGGCUUGUGUAACUGUGCUGUACUUUCUAAGCUUUCGAUAUGGACAAGUACCCUUUGAUUGAACCGAGAAAGUUGGAAGCUAUGAAUGAGUUGACAAUCGGCACCUUGGUGAGGGUGUGAUUUAGGUUUUUGGGUUUACAUGCAGGCCGUUGGAGGUGAUUCUUCUUUUCAUAGGAUAUAAUAAACAAAUGGGAAAUUCCAUAUCGGAUACUCGCUAAGUAUAUGUCUAGGUUCUGAAAGGACGCCAGUUUGAUGGAAGUGGGUUCCUUAUCUUUGAAAGUGCUGAGAUGCAACUAUAUCAUACUUAAUAAUAAUUAAUUCUUCGAUCUUUGUUGGAGUUACCAUUUGUCUUAGUUGUGAUGGAAGUGGGCAUUGGUGUCAUCAUGAUCUCUUAAUUUCCCUUGAAUCAUACUGAAUCUUCAUGGACUAUUUCAUGAUUAAUGAAAUUGCUAGAUAAUCUACACAGAAGUUUGCAUCUGAAUCCUGAUAGUGAUUUACAAAUUAUGCAUGUAGUUUUGAUGGGAUGCACUGUAAUGACCCAGCUCAUAGGGCUCUUGGGUCCGGCAAAAUCCUGAUGAGCCCAUGAGACCCACGAAAGGAAGGAGAAGGAAGACUCCUAAUCGGAGUCUUCUUCUCUCCCAACUCCGAUAAAAUUGGACUGAUAGAGUCUGAUAAAGACUAGAAAAUCCCUUUAUAAAACCCCCUUCCCCUCCCUUUAGGUCUCUAUCACGGGAUUUUGGGAGAUUUUUAAGAUAUUAGAGGGAUUUCUCAAGGGUUCUCCACGAGCUCUUGGACGGAAAGAAAGCUCGUCGGAAAUCUUUCUCUGAUCGUCGAAGCCAGAUAAGCUCCCUUUCCCUUCUCUCUUUUCCUUUUUGUCAUUAUUUUUUGGUCGCCGACGCCCGAUUGGAGCCGGCGGUCGUCAGAUUUGUAUUUAAACAAAACAGCCCCCGUUUUUCUUGUUUUGAACGAGCCUCUCUUCUCUAUUUUUUUCAGUCACCAGCAUCACCGCCCACGGUGCCGCACCUAUGGAUCUUGAACCCCGAUCUCCCUGCCAUCCUUUUCUAUGGGUCUUGGCCGUCGGUGAUUGGCCAAUGAUCGGAAAAAAAAAAGAAACGAGAUGGAUCCCCUAUUUUUCUAAAAUUUUUCACUUGAUUUUCUUGCCAUUCGAGCCUGGCCGCCGGCCGUCCCUUGUUCCGCCACCGUCGACCAUCUGUUACCAUCACCUACUGUCGGUCUUCCGGCCACUAGCCACCAAGAAUCACUGCCCCUUCCUCCUCUGUUCGACCAGGAAAAGAAAGAAGAAAGAAAAGAAGAAGAGAAGAAAAGAAAAAGGAAAAAAAAGAAAGAAAAAAAAAGAGAGAAAAAUUUUUUUCUCUCCCUAUUAUCUCUCUCUCCUUUUCUCUCUAGGGUCUUUCUAUUCUCUCUCUUUCUCUUUCUAAUUGCAUCACGAAACUUAGGACAAAUUUGAGAUGAAAAUAAGAUGACCUAAAAAUGCUUCGAAAUUCAUGCAGUAUGUUGGAUCUCAAUCCGGUCCUUAUUCGAAAUUUAUAACAUCGAUCAUAGUUAAUCUAUAUUGAGUUAUCUUGAUAUAACCUCUGGUAAUCUCGAUCAUGAUUAUCUCAUCUGAAGGAUAUGAAGAUUCUCUCUCCACUUUCUCUCUCUACUCUUUCUAAAAAUCUUAUGGACUAGUGGAGGGUCCAGAUAUUUAGAUAAAUUUCAAUCUUGAUUGAUCCUAGGAGGGAUACUGGAUUUAUGAUAUUGGGGUCAUUCAUCAUAAUUUAUUUUUUUUACUGUUCUUAAUUCUCUAUGAUUUUUAUUUUUAAUUCUGAUCAUGUAGAGAUGCGACUGUCUGUAUAAGAUGUUGGGUAGAAUAUUUUAUUUUUAAAAUUUAUAAAUCAAAGAGUUCGUUGAUUGCUGUGCUUGGAUCAAUCAUCAGUGGAAGUAAGAAUCCCUAUACAUGAUCACCAUUAUAUAUACUAUUUUUAUUGUUGGAUUUGUAUCUUUGAUUUUAUAUCAUUGGAUUCGUAUUGAUAGAUUAUCAUGUUGAGAUACUAUAAUUUCUUGUAUGAUUUUUCAAUGUACAUAUAUUGUGUGUUAAUAUGUAUGUAUGCCAGUGAUUGAUGAUAUGAUUAUAUGGAUAUGACAUAUCUAAUUUGAUCAUAUUGUAAAUUGAAAUUGAUUUGAUGAAAUCAACAUGUAAUAAUUAAAUAAAAAAGAUAUAUUUUAGACUAGCCUCAUCAUGUGGAAUAGUCCAUCAGGAGUUUAUGUCUGGAAUAGUCUGUCAGGAGCUUAUGCCUCAGACAGUCCCCAUGGACUUAUACGUAGAUCAGUCGGUCAAGAGCUCAUACUUGGGACAGCCCAUCAGGAGCUUAUGCUUGGGACAGCCCCUCACGGACUUUCAUACAUGGGACAGCCGAUCAGAAGCUCAUGCUUGAGACAAUCUUGAAAGGCUUAUGAGUGAAAUUUUGAUCGGAUGAAGACUGAGAUAUAGACUUGGUUAGUCCAAAGUCAGAAAGAAAAAGGUUAAAAAUCAUAGAUUAUGAAAGAGAAAUAGAGAAUAAGACAUGAAGCUAAUACUGAAUAAAAGUGUUUCAUCUAUUAACAUAUGAUGAUGCAUCUCUUUUGACAAGACAAAUAAUUUAUGGAUAUUUACAGUAUUCUGGAUAUUGAACAUGAGAUUUUAUGUUUUAUUGUUUAUCCUUAUUUUCAGAUUAUAUUAUUAUACUGGUGUGAUAUGUGAGAUUCUUACUGGGCUGUAAAGCUCACACCCCUCCAUUUCUCUUUUUCUUCUCAGAGUUAUAGGAUGCUCAUGGUUGGCUAUGGUAUAGAAUUGUGAGUGAGCAGAUGUAUAGAUAGAGUGUCAUUGAUACCUGAUCAGAAGAUUGAAAAAAAUUAAUUUAUAAUUAUAUAAAUUUUAUUAAUUAUUAUUAAAAUUAGAUAUUAUGAAUAUUCAGGUUGUAAUGAAUUAUUUUAGAUUUUGCAUAUUCUUUAGGGCUUGCGCUAAGGAGUGUGCGGCCAUCACAUAUCCGACCUGAAUAUUAGGUUCGGGGCGUGACAGAGUGGUAUCAGAGCUUAGAUUUAAGAUCAUUAGGGACUGUGAAAUGAUAUCAAAACUUUAUGUAUAAUCAAUAGGAUGUGACAGAAUGGUAUCAAAGUUUAAGUUUAAAAUCACUAAGGAUUAUGACAUAAGUGAUGUCAAAACUUUGGGAUUAUAAUCAAUAGAGUAUGAUAGAUAAUAUUAUAGCUUAAGAUUAUGAUCAUUAAGGAUGUGAUAGAAUAAUAUUAGAGUUUAGGUAAUGAUCACUAGAGAAUAUGACUUAAGUGGUAUUUGAGUUUAAGAUUAUAAUUAUUCAAGAUUGUGACUUUAGUGAUAUUUGAACUGAAGGUUAUGAUCAUUAGGAACAUGAUAGAUAUAGCAGAAAAGAUUCAAUGUUGGAAUUUCGAAUCAAUAGAUACUAUGUUGAAAUUUAUGAAUAAGUAGCAUAUGAUAUCUAUAAUAGAAUUGACAAGUUAUAUUUUAGAUUCCAAUUAGUAAAAUUGAUCUGAGUAUGAGAAAUGUUGAUCCUGAAAUGAAGUGAGAGGUAUUGAUAUAUUAUAUUGGGUAUACUUGAUGAUUUUGGAAUGCUAAACUUAUAUGAGUGGAGAUCAUGAUAACUUUUCUGAUUUUGAUGUUAAUUAUCUAAUCAUUAUAAAUUUUUGAACUUAUCAGAAGGAAGUUAGUUAGGAUGUGGUCUAAAAAGAAAUUACAUCAUAUGGGAAAGAAAUAUUUUUGAGCAUUGAAUCUAUAAGAGAUUAUAUAUGAAACUCAAUUUUAGAUGAAAAAUAUACUUAGAUUUUAUUAUGAGAAUAUGAGAUACACGUCAUGGUGAAAUCUUUGAUUAUUCAAAAUAUCAUAUUUAGAUCUGAUUUUUUGAUCUUUCAAGUUGCAUUAAAUUUCAAGUCAAAAAUUUACUUUUCUAAGUGGAUCUAAGAUAUUUUGAUAUUGUUGUUAAAUUAAAUAAGAAAAUUAAUUUUAUUAGAGUAUGAUAUACACGUUAUGAUGAAAUCUUUAAUAAUUUAUAUUUUCAUCUUUGGAUUAGAUUCCUUACUUUUUGUUGUGAGUGUUGAAGAUAGUAGAGUAUAUUAAUUAUUUAAGUCAAAGUUCGGAUUUCUGAGCUGAUCUAAGAUAUUUUGCUAGUAUUAAAUUUUGAAUGACUUAUAUAAAUUUUAACACAUAAGGGACAAGAUUUUGUCUGAAUUUAUUGAUUGAUGUUAAGGGUUGUGAUGAAGGGAGCUCUACAAAAAAAAAAUCAAGUUGAUUCUACUUAUAAAGAUGUUAGCUUGAGUUCUUCUAGUUUGUUUGAGUUGGAGUUAAUUCUUUUAAAAAGAAAAGUUAAUUUAAAAAUUAUCUAAAUGAUUGUAAGGUAAAUCUAAGGUUAACUCCAAUUAAUUCUAGACAUGUUGGAUUCUUGAGGAGUGAUGAAGUUUAUGCAAUGAUUUUAAAUAUGAAAAGUGGAUCAAGAUUUAAUUUUGAUGUGUUAUGUCUAAGGGAUAGUAAAGACAAAAAAAUUUAAAAUUUUGCUCUAAGUUUUAUAUAAAAUUUGAAGGUUGGAUCUAUCUUUGAUUGAUCUAACAUACAAGGAUAUUCUUAUCUUUUGAUAAAUCUAUAUUAUUUGAUAAAUUAAGAUCAGAAUAUGCAGCAAAAGCAAGGCGAUUUAAAUUGAUUAGAAAUAUUAAUCCUUUAAAUCAAAAGAUAUUACGAUGGAAUAUAUUAGUUGCAAAUAAGGAAGAAUUUUAUUGAUAAUAAAAAGAUGCUACUGAUAUUUUUGACCUAAUCUGAUCAUAGACAUGUAAUUUUUAUCAGUAAGUUAUUUCAUUGCAGAUAAUGUCAAGAAGAACCCUAGACAUCUUAAGUUUAUUGUUGAUAGUUUGAUAGUUCUUUUGUUAGUUCAAAUCUAGAAUGUCUUGACACAGAUCUUAUUUUUUGAGAUUUAAUAUUGUUACUCGAACUGAUGUCGAAGGUUGAGAUUUUCUUAAGAUGGAAGUUCAGUUGUUAAAUUUGUUGGAAGGUCAAAAGAAGAAAGAAGCCUGUAAUUAUGAAUAGUAUUUGAUGUUUAGGCUAUCUUUGAUUUCUAUUAAAGGAAAUGAGUUAAUCAACCAAUAUAAUGGACAAAAAAUUUUAGUAUUUUAAUAUCUGAUCAAAAUAUUAUUGUUUGUUUGAAUAUAUAUAUAUAUAUAUAUUUGAGAAACUAAUACGAAGGGAAUGAGUUUGAGAUGUCAUAUAAUUUUGAGAAACAAGUACUAUGAAAGAUAGACUAUUAAAAGCUCGAGACUGACAUAAUCAUGUUCUUUUAAAGUUAUUGAUCAAGCAAAGUUAAUUUUGAGGAUGAAAUUAUUUUAAGGAAGGAGAAUGUAAUGACCCAGCCCAUAGGGCUCUUGGGCCUAGCAAAAUCCUAGUGAGCCCAUAGAACCUACGAAAGGAAGGAGAAGGAAGACUCCUAACCGAAAUCUUCUUCUCUUCUGACUCCGAUGAAAUCGGAUUGAUAGAGUCCGGCAAAGGUUAGGAAAUCCCUCUAUAAAACCCCUUUCCCCUCCCUUUAGGUCUCUAUCAUGGGAUUUUGAGAGAUUUUUAAGAGAUUAGAGGGAUUUCUCAAAGGUUCUCCACGAGCUCUUGGACGAAAAGAAAGCUCAUCGAAAACCCUUCUCUGGCCAUCGAAGCCAGGUAAGCUCCCUUUUCCUUCUCUCCUUUCCUUCUUGUCAUUGUUUUUUGGUUGCCGGCAUCCGAUUGGAGCCGAUGGUCGCCGGAUUUGCAUUUAAACAAAACAGCUCCUAUUUUUCCUAUUUUGAACGAGCCUCUCUCUAUUUUUCUGACCACCAGCGUCGCCGCCCACGGUGCCGCACCUAUGGAUCUUGAACCCCGAUCUUCCUGCCAUCCUUUCCUGUAGGUCUUGGCCGUCGGUGAUUGGCCAAUGAUCGAAAAAAAAAUAUAAAAAAAGAUGGAUCUCUUAUUUUUCUAAAAUUCUUCAUUUGAUUUUCUUGUCGUCUGGGCUUGACUGCCGACUGUCGGUCGUUCCUUGUUCCACCGUCGUUGGCCAUUUGUUACCACCACCUACUGUCAGUCUUCCGGCCAGCAGCCACCAAGAAUCACUGCCGCUUCCUCCUCUGUUCGGCCAGGAAAAGAAAGAAGAGAAGAAAAGAAAAGAAGAAGAAGAGAAGAAAAGAAAAAAGAAAAAAAAGAAAGAAAAAGAGAGAAAAAAAUUUCUCUCUCCAAGGUCUUUUUAUUCUUUCUCUUUCUCUCUCUAAUUGCAUCACGAAACCUAGGACAAACUUGAGAUGAAAAUAAGAUGCCCUGGAAUCACUUCGAAAUUCAUGUAAUAAGUUGGAUCCUAGCUUGGUCUUUAUUCGAAAUUUAUACAUCGAUCAUAGUUAAUCCAUAUUGAGUCAUCUUGAUAUGACCUUUGAUAAUCUCGAUCAUAAUUGCCUCAUCUGAAGGAUACGGAGAUUCUCUCUCCACUUUCUCUCUCUACUCUUUCUCUAAAAUUUUUUCUCUCUAAAAUUUUUUCUCUCUUCAUGAUUUUCUCUCUUUAAAAGUCUUAUGGACCAGUGGAGGGUUCAGAUAUUUAGACAAAUUUUAAUUUUGAUUGAUCCUAAGAGGGAUACUGGAUUUAUGAUAUUAGGAUCGUUCAUCAUAAUUUAUUUUUAUUAUUAUUUUUAAUUCUUUAUAAUUUUUAUAUUUAAUCCUGAUCAUGUAGUGAUACAACUGUCUGUAUAAGAUGUUGAGCAGAAUAUUUUAUUUUCAAAAAUUAUAAAUCAAAGAGUUCAUUGAUUGCUGUGCUUGGAUCAAUCACCAGUGGAGGUAAGAAUCUCUAUACAUGAUCACCAUUAUAUAUACUAUUUUUAUUGUUGGAUUUGUAUCUUUGGUUUUAUAUCGUUGGAUUCUUGUUGAUGGAUUAUCAUGUUGAGAUACUAUGAUUUCUUAUAUGAUUUUUCAAUGUACAUAUAUUAUGUGUUAAUAUGUAUGUAUGCCAGUGAUUGAUAAUAUGAUUAUAUGGAUAUGACAUAUCUAAUUUGAUCAUAAUGUAAAUCAAAAUUAAUUUGAUGAAAUCAAUAUAUAAUAAUUAAAUAAAAAAGAUAUGAUUUGGACUAGUCUCGUCAUGUAGAACAGUCUGCCAGGAGCUUAUAUCUGGGAUAGUCUGCCAGAAGCUUAUAUCUUGGACAGUCCUUACGAGCUUAUACGUGGAUCAACCGGCCAAAAGCUCAUACUUGGGAUAGUCCAUCAGGAGCUUAUGCUUGGGACAGCCCUUCACAAGCUUUCAUACGUGGGACAGCCGGUCAGGAACUCAUGUUUGGGACAACCUUGAAAGGCUUAUGAGUGAAAUUUGAUCGGAUGGAGACUGAGGUAUAGACUUGGUUAGUCCAAAGUCAGAAAGAAAAAAGUUAAAAAUCUUGUGAUUAUAAAGAGAAAUAGAGAACAAGACAUAAAAUUAAUGCUGAAUAAAAAUAUUUCAUCUGUUAACAUAUGAUGAUGCAUCUCUUUUGACAAGAUAGAUAAUUUAUGAAUAUUUGCAGUAUUCUGAAUAUUGAACAUGAGAUUUUAUGUUUUAUUGCUUAUCCUUAUUUUCAGAUUAUAUUAUUAUACUGAUGUGAUAUGUGGGAUUUUUACUGGACUGUAAAACUCACAUCCCUUCAUUUCUCUUUUUCUUCUCAGAGUUACAGGAUGCUCAUAGUUGGCUAUAGUAUGAAUUUACGAGUGGACGGAUACAUAGAUAGAGUAUCAUUGAUACUUGAUCAGAGGAUUGAAAGAAUUUAAUUUGUAAUUAUGUAAGUUUUACUAAUUAUUAUUAAAAUUAGAUAUUAUGGAUGUUGAGAUUGUAAUAAAUUAUUUUAGGCUUUGUAUAUUCUUUAGGACUUGCUUUAAAGAAGAUGCGACCAUCAUGUAUUCGAUUCGGAUAUUAGAUUCGGAGCGUGACAUGCAUACGUAUGUAGAUCCCAGAGCCAUAAGCUUUAUUGAUAGCAGAAGGUUCCGCUUACACCUCAUAGGUUACAAGCGGUAAUAUACCAGUCCCUGCGACCAGCAUGGUCGCUAUAUAGUAACAGCACAUGCUUCAUGACAAGGGGUGCAGAGAGCUGACACUAUAAUAACUUGUGACAACUCUAGUUUUAUUCACAAGUAUCAAUGAUGAUACGAUGGUUGGCCUUGAAAAUUAAACUGAAUACAGGUGAAAAUUAUGGCAAAGAAAGGAUGGACAAGAGCAACCGGGAGUUUCAUUCAUUUUGUGGAUCCAAUCUUGAAAUUAUUUCUCACCUCCUGGUCAAAUAUUGUCUCCUCGCAAAAGUUUGUGGUUCUCUUUGGAGGUUCAUCUUUGUAUUACAGGCUGGCCGGAGCAUGUUACAGAAAAAAGAAAAAGAAAAAGAUUUGAACCUAUGGUCUCAUCUUUGUCAUAAGUCCAAUUGAAGCACCUCAGCUAAAUCUAAAAAUUCUUACCAAAAAACAAAGAAGAAAAUAAAAAAAAGCUACUCUUCCAUGUCACUCUUACAGCAAGACAAGCAGUAGAAGAAGCACUUAACAGAUCCUGGAAUUGCAGGCAAAAGCUUUGGACUCACUUGGCAUAAAGGUGUAGCUUAGAAGCAUAGUUGAAUUGAAUCCGCACCUAGAAUAGCUCUGAUAGCCAGUAAAGGAAUUAAAAAACUGUGACCCAGAUAAAGAAAAGCGAACCCUUUUCAUCUGAUGGCUCCCCUCCGUUCAAAUUAAAUUUAACCAAUAAAGUGGCAAACAAAGACAUACGGCAGCUUUUAGGCUGGCAUGCAAUGAACGUGAAAGAGAAUCACUUCUUUAUUUCACCAACCAACGGUUCAAAGACCUGAUGGGGAUUAUUUCAGAACAGACAGGAACCAAGCAAAGAACAUCUAUAAAAAAUAUCACAAUCUUUUCAUAAUUAGCCCCCAUUUAGUGUGUACUCGUAAAUAUGGUAUUUCGAAAACUAUAUGUCAAUUUGCUUGAAGAUAUAUAUUGAGUUACCACAUAACUCAGUUGCUAAGUAUCUAUCACCUAGUUGUAUAUUAUAUAUCAGUGAAUUCUAUGUUUGAGAAUCUGUACAUUAUUUUAUUUAGAUAUAUGCAUCGGUAAAAAAUAUGUUAUGAAAAUAAGAAAGAAAAUAUCAUAAUUUUAAACUGAUGACUCUAUUAGCAUAAGUUUUUGACUUUUAAUUUUUAUCUUAAAAUAAGUAUUAAGAAAACUGUAACAAAAUCAAAAGCCUGUCCCGACCCAUCCAAUAUGAUUUUUGUUCUUGCUAAUCAAAGCAACAUGAUAAAAUUCUAACCUCAGUGGAGGAGACGAACUUUUAUUGAGUGCCCGAGCUAAUUAUUGGAUACACUGUGCCAUGAGUUUUUGUGGUCAUCCAAUUAUUUCAUAGGGCGAAAAGGUUACCAAUAUUAGGCCUUAUCAAUAAUAACAAAAGUAAGAUCACAUUAAACCAUAAAUGAGAAUAUAUCAAAUCAGCAUAAGAGCUUGAAAUGUUUAGCAAUUAUUGGCCAUUCAAGGUGGACUAUAGGCUUGUAGUUGUUUGAAACAAGGAUGCUAACGAUCUAGAUUCUGGGUAUUUCCAUUGUUAUAAAGAGAAGACAGCGAACUUUUUUUUGUUCCAUGUUUAUUUGUCUCUUAUCUGCGUCAAAUUUACUGAUGUUAACUGUUCCAAAUUAGAAGGAGGCUAAUUGUGAAAAGAUUGAGACAUUUUUGGAGAUGUUCUCUGCUUGGUUCCUUUUUCUAUUCCCUAAUAAUCCACACCAGGUCUUUGAACCGUUGGCUGGUGAAAUAAACAAGUGAUUGUCUCUUUUAACUUCCGUUGCAUGCCAGCCUAAAAGCUGAACUAUUUUUUCCUUUGCCGCUUUAUUAGUUAUUUAAUUUGGACGGAGGGAAGCCAUCAAAUGAAAAGGCCAAGUUCUCUUUUCUUGUCUGGGUCAAAGAUUUUUAGUUCCUUUACCGGCUACUAGAGCUAUUCUAUGUGCGGGUUCAAGCUAUUCUAUGUGCGGGUUCAAUCCGCCUAUGCUUCUAAGCUACACCUUUAUGCCAAGUGAAUCCAAAGUUUUUGCCUACGAUAGUACGAUUCUAGGAACUGGUGCUUGACUUCCGUAAGAGUGGCAUGUAAUAGUAGAUUUUUUUUUUUUUUUUUUUUUUAAGAUAAAAUUUUAGAUUUAGCUGCUCAAGUGCUACAAUUGGACUUAUGAAAAAGAUGAGAUCAUAUGUGAGGACUUGUAUAGAUAUAUAUCUAGUUCAAUAUUGAUAGUUGGAAUUAGGCUCAGACUGGUCCGAGGCCUAUCAGGUCGAGUCAGACUUCGAGCUAGGCCCGUAAUAAUUCAGACCGAUCUUGGAUCUAAAUAGAGAGUUCAUUUAUCUUUCGGGCCAAACUCGGACAUACCUUUAGUCCGGCCCGAGCCUGGCCUAGACCCGAUCUCAAAUUCAGGCCCGAUCAAAGCCCAAAUAUCCAACAUAAUCUUUAUCUUCUUGUCUUUUAUUUUCCUCCAUUGUCAACUAUUCUAGGACGAUCCACGACGGUGGGGGAAAAGCCAACGAUGUGGAGGCGGGCGGAGAUGAGGGACUUGGUGGCCAAGAUGGGGGACGAAGUCCGAUUUUCACUCUAAUUUUCUUUAGUAGAUUUUUUUUCCAAAGAAAUUUUGGACACUGCAGCGACGACAGCCGAUGUGGUAUAUUCGGCGACUGCUUUCUUUGUGCUGGGUGACUCCUUUAUCAAUACUGGUGAUAACACCUUCUUCUACCUUGCUACCCUUCAACUUCUCCUCCAGCUUCUGCAAUGGCUCCCAUCAUCGUCUCCUCCCUGAUUUCAUCGAUACCCAUGCGUUCUUUAAUUUAUUUAUUUUUAAGGUUUCUUGAUUGGAAACCCCAAGAUUUGAUCUCAUUGUAAGAAAUUAGGGCAUUAUUUCUCCAACAAAAAGGAUUGAUUCGAAGCUUUCCGAUCUAGGUGUUGCAGCCGAGUGGAUGGGACUGCCGCCGGUCCCAUCAUUCUAUGGUCUGAAUAGGAUGGCAGUGCCACUGAUGCACAGCAUCAACUUUGCUUCGACUCUGACGAUGAUCAUCUUCGGCAUACUCAUUGGUUGGUGGCGUGGCUAUCACUGCUUCCUCUUCCAGAGCCUCAGCCAGCAAAUCCGCCAUGUGUUCAAGAUCCUUCCACUCGAGCUCGGCGCCUUCGCCACCUGCCACGCCGCCUCAUCCAUGCUCUUCAUCCUCUCCUUUGGCAAGGACGACUAAGCCACCCUCUUCUUUUACAACUUCGAAUAUAACCGCCUCACCCUCAAGUACGUACCCAACAUGGAGGGUAUGGUAGUCAACGAUGGUGGCACUGGGACAUAUUCACAGUGGCAGGUAGGAGGAAGACUGAAAGAGAGCACGAGGGUAGAAUGGGAGGAGAUGUAGGGUUUAGGUAGAGUAAACGAGGAAGGGGAGAUUCAUAGGGUCGGGCCGGACUUUUUGGGCUCAAUCUUUGGAUUAGUCCGAUCAGACUCAGGUCGGACUCAGGUCUUAAAUUUUAAAAUAUUUUUGGGCCUAAGCCUGAUCCGAAGUCUAAAAAAAUAUUUCGGCCUGGGCUAGGGGCAAAGAUAUGGCCCGGUCUAUUUCCAAUCCUAAAUAUCGACUGUCCAUCGAAUAUAUUUUAAAACUUAUACAUGAUUAAAGAAUCUAAAUAAUACUUUCUGACAAAUCUUUUAGAAUGAGAUUCUGAGUUGAUAAAAUAAUAUCAGAGUGGAUCUAAUCCACGAUUUAUAUAGACUAAGGGACAUUAUAGCACGAGUCUAUUGGGAUUAUGUAUGCAUGGAUCAAUCAUAGAAUUUAUGAUUAGAAUCGGAUAGGUUUGAAUUUUUAAAUUCAUAAAAAUUUUAAAAUAAAAAAAUAUAUGAGAAUUUAUAUAAAUAUAUAUUUAAUUUUAUAUUUAUUGUACACUUUAUGCAUGAUGUGAUGGACAGUCAGCCCGCAGAAAUAUGCAAACCAUUUUGUUUUGCUAACGGCCCUUGAAUCCAAGCCUAAACCGAUUGGGCAGCCCAUUGGUAGCCUGACAUGUGAUCCAUUGUUAAAUAAAGAUACGUGGCAACGUACAUUCUUGAUGGGGAACUCUGACAUGUGUAAUCCGCAUGUAAAUUCACUAGAUGCAUGCAUGGAUGGUUACGAAGGUACGAUAUAUAUGCAUCUCAUCAAAACCACACGCAUAAUUUAUAAAUUACAUCAGAUUUCAGCUGCAAACUUUUGAAAGAAUAUCAAGUUUAUUAUGAAAGGGUCCGUGAAGAUUCAGUAUGAUUCUCUGGAAAUUAAGAGAUAAUGAUGACAUCUAUUCCCGCUUCCAUGACAACUAAGACAAAUGGUAACUUCGAUAGAGAGCAACAAUUAAUUAUUAUUAAGCCUGAUAUCGUUGCAUCCCAGCACUUUUAAAGAUUAGGAACCCACUUCCAUCAAACUGGGUUCCUUUUCAGAACCUAGACAAGCAUAUGGAAUUUCCCAUUUGUUUAUUAUAUCCUAUGAAAAGAAGAAUCACCUCAAACGGUCUGCAUGUAAAGCUGAAAUCCUAAAUCACACCCUCUCGACUCUGGCAAGAUUACGUUGAUGGAUGGUCAACUCGUUCAUAGCUUCCACUUUUCUUGGUUCAAUCAAAGGGUGUUUCUCAUUAUAUGCAAAUGUGUCUGUUGGUCUAGAUUAUUAGCCCUGCCUCAUAGUUAUCUCUUUUAAGUGUCUAUCCUCAGAAAAUAUAGAUUCCAAUUUCCAGAUUAUCAUGUUGGACCAAGAUAUGAUAUGAUGCUGGGUAAUUGAUUUGGAAACGGGCUACUUUUAUUCGAAUGUGAGAGAUUUGGGAAGAUACAUUGCGUGCACUUAAUGAUCUGAGCUUAUCCCCAUUGUUAAUUUUGACCAUGUUCAUUAUCAGGCUCUCUUGAAAACAUGCAUCUUUAAGAGGGUGCCAACUAGCUAAGUCUGUGAAAUCUAUUUGUGUUGAUAUGAUCUGCCUCUAUCUCCUAUCUGGUGAGGCUUCCACCAUGGGAGAAAAUUGUAAGACCAUAGAUCAUCCUGUGUACCCACCUCCAAGGAUGGGGCGCAAAUCAGUUCGCUACAUGUAUCACUGUACACACUAUCAAUCACAACCAUUUGUUUCUAUGGCAAUACAUCAAAAUAUAUGCUUAAUGAAUGAGGCCCACAAAAAUGAAUACUUAUGAUUGACAACAUGCAUGGCCACAUGGUGACCGCCAAGUGUGCAUGGCCAUAUGGUGUGUGCAACAUGGAGAAUAAUUUCUCCCGGUGCAAAUUGGGCUUGCUUCAUUUUUGCUUCAAAAAAGUUUCCACCAUCGGAGAAAAUUGUAAGACCAUAGAUCAUCCUGUAUACCCACCUCCAAGGAUGGAGGGGCAAAUCAGUUCGCUACAUGUACCACUAUACACACUGUCAAUCACAAUCAUUUAUUUUUAUGACAAUACAUCAAAAUAUAUGCUUAAUGAAUGAACUCAUAAAAAUGAAUAGUUAUGAUUGACAACAUACGUGGCCACCUGAUGACCGCCAAGUGUGCACGGCCAUAUGGUGUGUGCAACAUGGAGAAUAAUUUCUCUCGGCGCAAAUUGGGCUUGCUUCUGUUUUUUGUUCAAAAAAGUGAAAGUCCUUGGCCUAAACCGUGCCUAACCCUGAACGUUGUUUGGGUUGGACGGGCUAACCGACAAUCUUGCUUCCUUGAUUUUUCGUGCGUAACUUUAUUUGGUGGGCAAUGCGAUUUGAUCUCCUGAGAUGCAAAAUUUUUUAUACAUCAUGGAUGAUAAAAAAAAUCUGACGUAGAAUGUAUCGUAUUAUUUAAUUGAUCUACAUAGUCAUUAUUUUUUAAUAUAUAUUUAAUACUUAUACAUCGANNNNNNNNNNNNNNNNNNNNNNNNNNNNNNNNNNNNNNNNNNNNNNNNNNNNNNNCAUUAUGAUAUCUUACGUCUAUAAUAUAUACAAAAUAUUAUAAUUUUUUAAAAAAUAAUAAUAUUUUUAUUAUUUAAAUUUUAAAAAAAUCGAUAUGUAGAUAUUAAAUGCGUAUUGAAGAGUAGUUGGACAAAAAUAUCUCUUUCAUAUUAUGGUAUCUUAGACCAUAUUAUGAUAUUCUGAAUUAUAUUAUAUCAUAAAAUAUUAUAAUUUUUUAAAAAAUAAAAUAUUUUUAUUUAUAAAAUUUUUUAAAUAAAAAAUUAAUAUAUAUAUAUAUAUAUAUUAAAUAUAUAUUAAAAAUGAUAACUACCUAAAUAAAUCGAAUGAUAUACCAUCCGUUGGAUUUUCUACGCCGCUCGCGGUGCAAAAAGAAUUUCUCCUCCUAAGAUUGAUCACCGGACUCAUCAUGAAGCAAACCGUACACUGCGCGAUGGCCCAGUAAUUCAUGCUUUUUUAAUAAGUGGCUCGCCUGGACGUACCCCCUUAUUCGUCCUUCUCUAAACGCUGCUCAUAUCCGCAGCUCGUUGCUAGUACCGAACAAAGAAAAGAGAAUAGGAGAAUAUAGAACAAAAUAAUCUAGGUGUCUUUCAUUCAUUAUGUAAUCUGUUUGUUUCUUCCAUUUUUAUUUUCUCUUUCUAUAAUAUAACAAAAUAAAAUAAAUCUAACACAAUUAUCAAAAAAAUAAUAUAAAAAUUAAUUAUAUCUUAUUAAAAAUAUAAUACCAUAAACAUAUCCAGCUAUAUUGCUGUUUGCGUCGUGCCCGUGCUCUCCCAUUUAUGAAAUUUAUAUACAGCUGUGGAUGUGUCUAGAACGAUGAAGUUGGUGGGAUUUGAAAGCUUAACUAGGACACAAGUCAUCCAAUAAUGGGGACAGCCUAACAUCCCUUUCCCUAUUAUACCAUUUUGUAUCCAAAUCUACUUGUUUAGUAAUAUUAUAACUAAUUUUUAAACUAAACACUUUCUGGGUUUUUAACAGAUUUCAGAUUAUUUUAUCAAAAAAAAAACAGAUUUCAGAUUAGAUUCUAAUCCCAUCAUUUAAAAAAAAAAAAAUAGAAGACCGCUUGCCAAGGCUGUGCCCCUACGUCCUUUUGGAACAAGACGAAGAUACAUCAGAUUUAGUACAAGUUUAACGUAAUUAAACAUCCUUUUCGUACCAGUCGGCUCACAUGUAAAAGCUCCUUUUGUGAAAAAUCUGGUCCCCCGUUCAACAUUCUCUUUUUCCUAGUCGUGACACGUGUCCAGUUUACGUACUGGUACCACGAGAAUCUCGCAUCCCACAAAGAUAGACUUCACCUCUAAAGACGGAGGGCUUUCCAUGUGAUCAAGAUUCUGCCCAUAUUCAUUUAAUACACUACGUGAUUGCAGCAAGCGACCACUGAAAUAUUUAGUUACUAAACAAAUGAAGGCAGGCUAAGUGGGAUAUCUCCUCAUGAUUUGAUCCACUAAUUGGGGACUGCUCAUAUUAUAUCCUUCCAAUAAAAAAGAAUUAUUCUUUUUUUUUUUUGACUGAUAUUCCUGCCUCUUCCGAGUUCUACUGCGAGAUAUUUAAUUUUACCGUAAAAGCUUCAACACUUUGUUAGUUCAUCCAUCCCAAGAUGUCAUAAGCUCACAUUACUCGAACCACAGCUCCUGGAGCAGUCGGAAAGCUUUGCUGGUCACAGAAAAGAAAGCAUGUCAUCCCCUUAAUUAUUAGUUUAAUCCUCAAUGCCGGCGGGUAUGGAUCCCUGUAGCCUAAACUCAGCACUUUUGUUAGUUUUCUAGAAAAGAGUGGUAAUUAGUGUGAAGGAAGGAUGGUUGCUGGAAAAGGAUAUGGAAAGAUUGUUCCAACCUGGCUGUCGAGUUUCAAAAGCAGAGGCGUACAAAUUACUAGACAUUUAGAUAUUUUUGAGUGGUUUCACCACGGUGUACCUCGACCACCCGCGUCAUUUCAACCCCCUCCACCCCCAUUAUUGCCCUGGGGGUUCCCUUGCCUAUAAAUUGGAAGGGACCUUGCUCUCCUUGCAAGCUGAGAAGCUCUCCUAGCUCAGCUCAAUAACACACACAGACACAGACAGAGAUAAAUAGCUAGAUAGAUAAAUACAUAAAUAGAGAGAGAGCAAUGGGAGGAAGUCAAUCCUCGUUUUGCAGCUGCUUUUCAUCUCAGAAUGAAGAAGCUGAAGGAGAGCCGAGGUAUACCUCAAGCAAGGUGAGGCCCAGUGAUGAAGACCGAUGGCGAUAUGUCGGCGAGCCGGACGUCGACGUGAAAGCCACUGCCUUCAUAUCUGAAUUCCAUAAGAGCCGCUCAAGGGACGCUGAUGAUCAGAAGAUAGACUGUGCGGCUUAGCUUCUGGUCUCACAUCCCUCUCAUGUUUAUCCUUGCUCCAGGUUGUUACCAUUUAUAUUAUAUGUUUCUUCCUCUGUUUUGUGGUAGGUUGAUGUGCUCCUUGAAGUUUCUUAUCAACAGCUGGGGAAAGAAUUAAGGAUAUAUAUGAUGAUAGCUAGUUGUGAGAUAAUAUUGUCGUGUUGGUUUAUUGUACGUUUGCUUCUAGACUCUGUAACGAGGAAAGUAUGAGAAUAAAAUUAGCUCUAUGCUCAAGACUGUUACUUGUUUCAAAAUCAAG